CCUACGGGAGGCAGCAGUGAGGAAUAUUGGUCAAUGGGCGCGAGCCUGAACCAGCCAAGUCGCGUGAGGGAGGACGGCCCUACGGGUUGUAAACCUCUUUUGCCGGGGAGCAACGGGCGCCACGUGUGGCGUCACGUAGAGUACCCGGAGAAAAAGCAUCGGCUAACUCCGUGCCAGCAGCCGCGGUAAUACGUAGGAUGCGCGGUUGAUCCGGAUUUAUGGGGUUUAAAGGGUGCGUGUGCGGACCGUAAAGUCAGGGGUAAAAUUGAGGGGCUAAACCCCGUACCGCAAUUGAAACUGGCGUUCUUGAGUGGAAGAGAAGUAUGCGGAAUGCGUGGUGUAGCGGUGAAAUGCAUAGAUAUCACGCAGAACCCCGAUUGCGAAGGCAGCAUGCCGGCUUCCGACUGACGCUGAAGCACGAAAGCGUGGGGAUCGAACAGGAUUAGAUACCCCAGUAGUC
rnacentral:rRNA from 1 species